rnacentral:rRNA from 1 species
AGAGUUGAUCCUGGCUUAGGAUGAACGCUAGCGAUAGGCCUAACACAUGCAAGUCGAGGGGCAUCACAUGAGGUAGCAAUACCGAUGGUGGCGACCGGCGCACGGGUGAGUAACACGUAUGCAACCUGCCUUCAACAAGGGCAUAACCCGUUGAAAGACGGACUAAUUCCCUAUGACACAGGGGUCCCGCAUGGGGAUAUUUGUUAAAGAUUAAUCGGUUGGAGAUGGGCAUGCGUUCCAUUAGCUUGUUGGCGGGGUAACGGCCCACCAAGGCAACGAUGGAUAGGGGAACUGAGAGGUUUAUCCCCCACACUGGUACUGAGACACGGACCAGACUCCUACGGGAGGCAGCAGUGAGGAAUAUUGGUCAAUGGGCGCAAGCCUGAACCAGCCACGUCCGCGUGAAGGAAGACGGCCCUACGGGUUGUAAACUUCUUUGCAAGGGAAUAAAGUUGGCCACGCGUGGCCUUUUGCAUGUACCUUGCGAAUAAGGAUCGGCUAACUCCGUGCCAGCCGCCGC